UGGACAUGUGGAGUAAAGAAGAGUUGGCUGUUGGUUCAAAGGCAGGUCUCAUGAGGCCUCUAAGGACAAGGUUCAAAUUCCAGGCUAGUUUCGUGCAAUUGGAAUGAAGGAGGAUCCAGGCUGUCAGAUGAAGUUUCUCCAGUUGUGGAUGGAGGAUGCAGCCCUCACUCAGACUGGGAGAGAAGGUCCGGUAUCAUCGGGAGAGUUAUUGGAGGGCAGAUCGACAUGCGAAGCAGACUUAGGUCUGAAUUAUUACAUGGGCAUGGAGAGGAAAGAGCCUUAACAUUCACCCACAAUUUCUUCAUGUCCAUAUUUCGACUAAGAGGCAGGCAAAGAUGUCCAAUUUAUGUGCUACAAGCCUCUUCCUUUUCUGUAGGAACU